rnacentral:rRNA from 1 species
UACGGGAGGCAGCAGUGAGGAAUAUUGGUCAAUGGGCGAGAGCCUGAACCAGCCAAGUCGCGUGAAGGAUGAAGGUUCUAUGGAUUGUAAACUUCUUUUGUCCGAGGGUAAAAAAGGCCACGUGUGGCUUCUUGCAAGUAUCGGACGAAUAAGCAUCGGCUAACUCCGUGCCAGCAGCCGCGGUAAU